UACGUAGGUGGCAAGCGUUGUCCGGAAUUAUUGGGCGUAACGCCCGCGCAGGCGGUCUCGUAAGUCUGAUGUGAAAGCCCACGGAUCAACCGUUGAGGGUCAUUGGAAAAUGGGAGACUUGAGUGUAGGAGAGGAAAGUGGAAUUCCGCGUGUAGCGGUGAAAUGCGUAGAUAUGUGGAGGAACACCAGUGGCGAAGGCGACUUUCUGGCCUACACCUGACGCUGAGGCGCGAAAGCGUGGGGAGCAAACAGG
rnacentral:misc_RNA from 1 species